rnacentral:rRNA from 1 species
GACGAACGCUGGCGGCGUGCUUAACACAUGCAAGUCGAACGAAGAGCGACGGAAGCUUGCUUCUAUCAAUCUUAGUGGCGAACGGGUGAGUAACGCGUAAUCAACCUGCCCUUCAGAGGGGGACAACAGUUGGAAACGACUGCUGAUACCGCAUACGAUCUAACCUCGGCAUCGAGGAUAGAUGAAAGGUGGCCUCUACAUGUAAGCUAUCACUGAAGGAGGGGAUUGCGUCUGAUUAGCUAGUUGGAGGGGUAACGGCCCACCAAGGCGAUGAUCAGUAGCCGGUCUGAGAGGAUGAACGGCCACAUUGGGACUGAGACACGGCCCAGACUCCUACGGGAGGCAGCAGUGGGGAAUCUUCCGCAAUGGACGAAAGUCUGACGGAGCAACGCCGCGUGAGUGAUGACGGCCUUCGGGUUGUAAAGCUCUGUUAAUCGGGACGAAAGGCCUUCUUGCGAAUAGUGAGAAGGAUUGACGGUACCGGAAUAGAAAGCCACGGCUAACUACGUG